rnacentral:lncRNA from 1 species
UUUUCCGCCGUUGGAGGACUUCCGGACCUCCGAUUCCAAUUCCGUAAAAAGCUACACGUCCAGCAAUUUACGACACACACCAUUAUCGAUUCAAUUACAGUUUUCACACAACUUAUUCAUCACAAUUUCUCAGCAUUCCAAAUCCCAAUUAGGGUCAAUUCAACGGUUUAUCACUACCCAUUACAUGCUAACCCAUAAUACCCAUUAAACGACGAUAAACCCCCCUUACCUGAUUAAUCCGGCAAUUCUUUGAGCUCCAAGUUUUUCUCUUCUCCAACCUUUGCCCUUGCUCUUCCUCUUUGCCCUUUCUCCACUUUCCACUUUUCAGCCGCUUCUCUGUUUCAC